ensembl:lncRNA
UGAGAGUAUCUGUCUGGAGAUCUCUGUCUUCCUGAGGCCUUUUGAAGAGUUUUGCAAGAGGAACUACCUUUGAAGAAAGAAGGGAAAGUAUGUACUGUGCUUGGAAAGUGAGAGGUAUCUGGCUUCAAUAUUCUUUGUCUCCAUAUCUGAAAGCUUUUCACAAGAGAUGAGAAGUAAACCAACUUUCCACUGCACUCCACCAAUACAGCUAUUGCUGCAAGCAGCCCCACUUAUUUACAGUGCCUGUUGGUGGAACCUGGCACUAGAGUUUGCACUCAGAGCACCAACAAGAUCUCCCAUCUCUUCAAAAAGAACCACUUAAAACAGAAAACUAUGGGUUUUUUUUGUUUGUUUGUUUGGUUUUUUUUUAAAGAGCUCCUUGAAACAAGCCAAACUUGCAUCUGCACACUUCUUUUUACUGCUCCAUCCCCAGGGAGCAUUUGUACCUCAUUCUCCUCCCUUAGGACUUGAAAUCAAAAUAUUUCUUUUCUGUCAGGCAGCUCACACUGAGAAUUCUGUAAGCUGUAAGCACGGACGAGUAUAUAUUUAGCUUAUCCAAACUCAGUAAGAGACUAAGUGUAGGAGAUAGCUUAGGUAUGGGGCCACGUUGCACCUAGGAGACACCUGGGCUAUAAGCAGCAUCCACCAAGUACUUCUCUAUUUUGUGCCAUACCACAAAGGACAUACACUGUUCCAGUUUCUAUCCCCCCAGUAUAUAUUGAAAUAAAGUUGUCAAACCUCUUGUCCUCUGGAGGCUCCUGGAACAGCUCAGAGCAGAUUGGUCAACCACCACAGGCCUUCAGCUGCUGCCAGCUUCCAUUUGUUUUUCAGCAGCACCUGUGAGAGAAUACACAACUGAUGUGAGCACUCACUUCUUUAUUACUCUUCUCACCAAGUGAGAAGUGCUUCAGCCCUGCUUAACACCUCCUCAGAGCUCUUCCUGCUGCUAUUUCUUCAUCCUCAGGAUCUACUAUCUAUCUAGGUUAUAGAUAUAAUCUGAAACGCAGCUCAGCUCCCAG